rnacentral:rRNA from 1 species
CCUACGGGUGGCAGCAGUGAGGAAUAUUGGUCAAUGGGCGCGAGCCUGAACCAGCCAAGUAGCGUGAAGGAUGACUGCCCUACGGGUUGUAAACUUCUUUUAUAAAGGAAUAAAGUGAGGCACGUGUGCCUUUUUGUAUGUACCUUAUGAAUAAGGAUCGGCUAACUCCGUGCCAGCAGCCGCGGUAAUACGGAGGAUCCGUGCGUUAUCCGGAUUUAUUGGGGUUAAAGGGUGCGUAGAUGGGUUGUUAAGUCAGUUGUGAAAGUUUGUGGCUCAACCGUAAAAUUGCAAUUGAAACUGGGAGCCUGGAGUACAGUAGAGGUAGGCGGAAUUCGUGGUGUAGCGGUGAAAUGCUUAGAUAUCACGAAGAACUCCGAUUGCGAAGGCAGCCUACUAGACUGCAACUGACGUUGAUGCACGAAAGUGUGGGUAUCAAACAGGAUUAGAUACCCCAGUAGUC